AUUAGAUACCCUGGUAGUCCACGCAGUAAACGAUGAAUGCUAAUUGUCCGUUGCGAAUGAGCGUUGGGUGAUACAGCGAAAGCGUUAAGCAUUCCACCUGGGGAGUACGCCGGCAACGGUGAAACUCAAAGGAAUUGACGGGGGCCCGCACAAGCGGAGGAACAUGUGGUUUAAUUCGAUGAUACGCGAGGAACCUUACCCGGGCUCAAACGCCGUCUGACGUAGGCUGAAAGGCUUAUUUCUUCGGACAGACGGCGAGGUGCUGCAUGGUUGUCGUCAGCUCGUGCCGUGAGGUGUCGGCUUAAGUGCCAUAACGAGCGCAACCCCUGUCGACAGUUGCUAACAGGUUAGGCUGAGGACUCUGUCGAGACUGCCGGCGCAAGCUGUGAGGAAGGCGGGGAUGACGUCAAAUCAGCACGGCCCUUACGUCCGGGGCGACACACGUGUUACAAUGGCAGGUACAGCGGGAAGCCACCCGGCGACGGGGCGCGGAACCCGAAAACCUGUCUCAGUUCGGAUUGGAGUCUGCAACCCGACUCCAUGAAGCUGGAUUCGCUAGUAAUCGCGCAUCAGCCACGGCGCGGUGAAUACGUUCCCGGGCCUUGUACACACCGCCCGUCAAGCCAUGGAAGCCGGGGGUACCUGAAGUACGUGACCGCAAGGAGCGUCCUAAGGUAAAACCGGUGACUGGGGCUAAGUCGUAACAAGGUACC
rnacentral:rRNA from 1 species